AGUGGCUUUACUAUUGGAGGGAUGUAAAUUGGUGGCUUUGGCUUGUAGAGUGGAACUGGUGGUGGAAGUGGCUUUACUAUUGGAGGGAUGUAAAUUGGCGGCUUUGGCUUGUAGAGUGGAACUGGUGGUGGAAGUGGCUUUACCACCGGAGGUUUGUAAAUUGGUGGCUUUGGCUUUGGUUUGUAGAUUGGAACUGGUGGUGGAAGUGGCUUUACCACCGGAGGUUUGUAAAUUGGUGGCUUUGGCUUUGGUUUGUAAAUUGUAACUGGUGGUGGAAGUGGCUUUACCAUCGGAGGUUUGUAACCUGCUGGCUUUGGCUUGUAGAUUGGAACAGUUGGCUUUGGUUUGUAGAUUGGAACAGGUGGUGGAAGUGGCUUUACCAUCGGAGGUUUGUAAACUGGUGGCUUUGGCUUUGGUUUGUAGAUUGGAACAGGUGGUGGAAGUGGCUUUACCACCGGAGGUUUGUAAAUUGGUGGCUUUGGCUUUGGUUUGUAGAUUGGAAUUGGAG
rnacentral:lncRNA from 1 species